AUUUUUCGUAAUCUUUUGAAGAAUCAAAGCAUGGGAUUUAUUUUCUUGAUGGAUUAGAGGCUUGUAAUUGGAUUGGAGGAAGGCAUCUCUACACCUCUUGGAAAUUAAUUUGUAGAAUUUCAAAUCUACACUUUUGCUAUUUUUGGAGAUUCAUAGACUUUUGUGUGGCUCGCCUCAACUUGGAAGACUAGAAUUUUUUGAAGGAUCACAGGUGGGCAUCUUGUGGUUGAGGUUUUGCUUAGGGUCAUUCUAGGAUGUAAGCUUACCCUUUUUUUUAUGAAGGAGGUUGAUUGUAAAUAUUGCUUAUGAAGUUGGAUGUAUUGAUGGAUUCGUGAUUAGUAUGUAUUAUAUUUUUUUUGGGAGGAAAUGCUUGGGAACUAUCUUGUAGCAUGAUAAUAUUUUUUUGUCUUUGAAUAGAUCAUCUCAUAUAUGUUAGGCAA